GAUGAACGCUAGCGGCAGGCCUAAUACAUGCAAGUCGAACGGUGUCUUCGGACAUAGUGGCGCACGGGUGCGUAACACGUAUGCAACCUACCUUACAUUGGGGGAUAGCCUUUCGAAAGGGAGAUUAAUACCGCAUAAGACAGUAGCUGGGCAUCCAGCAGCUGUUAAAGAUUUAUCGAUGUAAGCUGGGCAUGCGUCCAAUUAGCUAGUUGGUGAGGUAACGGCUCACCAAGGCAAUGAUUGGUAGGGGAACUGAGAGGUCAAUCCCCCACACUGGCACUGAGAUGCGGGCCAGACUACGACGGGAGGCAGCAGGAGGGAAUAUUGGGCAAUGGACGCAAGGCUGACCCAGCCAUGCCGCGUGCAGGAUGAAGGCGUUAUGCGUUGUAAACUGCUUUUAUACAGGAAGAAACGACUCUUGCGAGAGGCAUUGACGGUACUGUAUGAAUAAGCACCGGCUAACUCCGUGCCAGCAGCCGCCGCCGUAA
rnacentral:rRNA from 1 species